CACAGCAAGGAAAAUCUUACAUGUGACAUCGAAGUUGUGUGUAUGCAUGAGUGAGUGCGUGCGAGUUCGCCUACAUCUCGAGAAAGGGUGAACAGAUUUGCACCAGACUUGGCAUGCUUAUUCCUUGGAAUCGGGAAGAGGUUUUAGAAAAGUCAUAUUCCGAAAAUAUGCCCUGGGUUCGAAACUCUGUAAAGGUGGUUUCUGUAUCUUAGAAUCCAGGCACGAUAGAAUGUUGCUAAGACUGGAGGUGUAUGAUUUGAGGUUUUCACAGCGGUGCUCAUUGCCUCCAGCAUCAGGGCGACAUCGCAAUACCCCAGAAGACAGUCGUCUCCUCACCUGAAAUCUCAUGAAGACAAGGAAUUUUGCAGGAUUUUGAUGGGUGCUCUAAGAAUAUCCACUUUCUAGAACGAGAAAGAGAUGAGAAGUUAUCAUUACGAGGAUUUUAGGGAGAUUAAUUGUGAAGAUAUGUUGUGGACAUAACAGGUCUGUGUCCAGUGGUCAGUUUUCGUAUUACUGGAAUUGGACUUCCGAGUUCUGCUACCAGAGGUUUAGUUAGAUGUAUUUAAUAUUAGGUUUGUCUUGUAUUCUGCAAGCAAUCUGCUUCAGUCAUUGUGUUUUACUUAUUUUCCUGUUUGUUGCAACCAACUUGAUCUAUUCAUUCCAUCUGUCUCAGUCUGUGGGUCAUAAUAUCUUAGUCAAGGAGGUGACAGACUACACGCUGAACGCCUGGGAAUCGAUUCCAUAAGCAAACUAUUCUUCUCACCGAAACGGCUGUGUUCAGAACGGCUCUGUAGGCCACUUACUCACCUAUCCAAUGGGCAAUGGACGCUGUAUCCCGGUAAUUAAAGCGGCCAGAGCUUUAAGUGGAUAUCUGUAUCCAGUUAUGAGGUCUAAAUUGCGUGAAACUUUAUUCCACAGUCCCUAUAUGCCUUCACGUCUUGUUUCCGAGGGACAGAAAUUAAUAACUUUAUUCGGUGUGACUGAUUAUGUACUUGCCUAAUAGUCUCAAGCGAUGAAAUAAAAUGGCGUCGAAUUAAAGAGUAAUGUGAUCAUGAAUGAUGAAUAAAUGAAGAUUUGAAGACUGGUGGUCACUGUAUACUUGGA